rnacentral:rRNA from 1 species
GACGAACGCUGGCGGCGUGCUUAACACAUGCAAGUCGAACGGAAAGGCCCUGCUUUUGUGGGGUGCUCGAGUGGCGAACGGGUGAGUAACACGUGAGUAACCUGCCCUUGACUUUGGGAUAACUUCAGGAAACUGGGGCUAAUACCGGAUAGGAGCUCCUGCUGCAUGGUGGGGGUUGGAAAGUUUCGGCGGUUGGGGAUGGACUCGCGGCUUAUCAGCUUGUUGGUGGGGUAGUGGCUUACCAAGGCUUUGACGGGUAGCCGGCCUGAGAGGGUGACCGGCCACAUUGGGACUGAGAUACGGCCCAGACUCCUACGGGAGGCAGCAGUGGGGAAUAUUGCACAAUGGGCGGAAGCCUGAUGCAGCAACGCCGCGUGCGGGAUGACGGCCUUCGGGUUGUAAACCGCUUUCGCCUGUGACGAAGCGUGAGUGACGGUAAUGGGUAAAGAAGCACCGGCUAACUACGUGCCAGCAGCCGCGGUGAUACGUAGGGUGCGAGCGUUGUCCGGAUUUAUUGGGCGUAAAGGGCUCGUAGGUGGUUGAUCGCGUCGGAAGUGUAAUCUUGGGGCUUAACCCUGAGCGUGCUUUCGAUACGGGUUGACUUGAGGAAGGUAGGGGAGAAUGGAAUUCCUGGUGGAGCGGUGGAAUGCGCAGAUAUCAGGAGGAACACCAGUGGCGAAGGCGGUUCUCUGGGCCUUUCCUGACGCUGAGGAGCGAAAGCGUGGGGAGCGAACAGGCUUAGAUACCCUGGUAGUCCACGCUGUAAACGGUGGGUACUAGGUGUGGGGUCCAUUCCACGGGUUCCGUGCCGUAGCUAACGCUUUAAGUACCCCGCCUGGGGAGUACGGCCGCAAGGCUAAAACUCAAAGGAAUUGACGGGGCCCCGCACAAGCGGCGGAGCAUGCGGAUUAAUUCGAUGCAACGCGUAGAACCUUACCUGGGUUUGACAUGGAUCGGGAGUGCUCAGAGAUGGGUGUGCCUCUUUUGGGGUCGGUUCACAGGUGGUGCAUGGCUGUCGUCAGCCCGUGUCGUGAGAUGUUGGGUUAAGUCCCGCAACGAGCGCAACCCUUGUUCACUGUUGCCAGCACGUUAUGGUGGGGACUCAGUGGAGACCGCCGGGGUCAACUCGGAGGAAGGUGGGGAUGACGUUAAGUCAUCAUGCCCCUUAUGUCCAGGGCUUCACGCAUGCUACAAUGGCUGGUACAGAGAGUGGCGAGCCUGUGAGGGUGAGCGAAUCUCGGAAAGCCGGUCUCAGUUCGGAUUGGGGUCUGCAACUCGACCUCAUGAAGUCGGAGUCACUAGUAAUCGCAGAUCAGCAACGCUGCGGUGAAUACGUUCCCGGGGCUUGUACACACCGCCCGUCAAGUCAUGAAAGUUGGUAACACCCGAAGCCGGUGGCCUAACCGUUGUGGGGGAGCCGUCGAAGGUGGGACUGGUGAUUAGGACU